CAGGAUCUUCUCAGGCAGUUGGAGUUACAAAAGAUACUGCAGUGGGUUUGACUGAAAAUGAUGUAUCCAAAGUUGACCCUUAUGCUUCUAGCAGACCACCUGUUGGUCCAAGUGGGGCAGGACAUGAUUAUUAUCAAGCAUCUGGAACUCAUAGGAGCAGUCAGUCGUUCGAUCAUGAAAGUCCUUCUAGUUUGGACAAGCACAAACUUAUAUGGUCAGUUAGCACAAAAACGUUGCCAUGAAAUAUAGUGUCUUGCUUUGAUUGUUUAAAAGAACUGUUUUGGGCGUGAGUGGAAAUUAAGCAUUAUAAGAUGAGUAGAUGUUUUGAUUUCAGCUGCAAAUUACAAUGGCAGGAACAAACUUUUGACUUUUGAUAUGCAGAAAUUAGUCUCUUUAUUUAAUUAUUCUUACAAAUUUUGUAGGUGAAAUGAGAUGGCGUCUUCACAGCCUUCACAUAAUGUUGAAUUCGAGGCUGCAAAGUUUUUGCAGAAACUUAUUCAAGACUCUAAAGAUGAACCAGCAAAAUUGGCUACAAAACUCUAUGUGGUGCGGAAAUUAUUCACCUGAUAAAUAUUCUUUAUUGUUUUCUCUACUUGUGAAUUUUAAUACCAUUCAUGCUUCUAAUUGUCAUGUACGCAUGAUUCAGAUAUUGCAACACAUGAAAUCAAGUGGGAAGGAACAUUCAAUGCCAUAUCAAGUAAUAUCAAGGUGAAAUCUUUAACUUUGUUAGAUUUUUUUUUUGUUUUAUUUAUUUAUUUAGUUUUAAAUUUUUAUGCUGCUUUGACAUUUGUAAUUUUUUUAUGCUAAUGAGGUGAGAGGGCAAGUUGUGUAAAUCUGAGUCUUGAGAGAUUUAUUUUUCUUCUCAUGUGAGGCGGAUUUACUGAAUCAUGCUAAACGAGAUAAUAAUCGAGGCAUUUAAUUAUGUUGGGAUAAGUGUGGUUCCCUAGCAAGGCCUUGCAUGAAGUCUCCUCAGUCCAACUUUAUGAGGGUGCACUUGUUUUUAUGAACCUUUUCAAUAUAAUGAAAAUUAAAGCAUGAUAAUUUACUUUUUUACAAUGAAAUUAGAAGAUUGUAUUAUUUUGGUGUGGAACAAGUGGCGGUGCUAAUAUAUGUAAUUUAUUUUGACUCUUAAUAUCAUCUCGUUAUGUGAUCAGGACUUGAAGAUUCCAUUGGCAUAUGCAUGGUGGAAACAUAAGAUUAAUUACUUAUGGUGUUUUACCAAGUUUUUGAGCCUCUAAGUUAAUUUCAAAUUAAGUUUGUCCAUAUGAUGCAGUGUACACAGAAAUGUUCUGUUUGUUAAAAAUUAAGUUUAAUUAGAAUUAUCGUGUAAAAAAAAGACUUAAAUAGAACAGAAUAUGUGGAUAGUCACUGUUAUAAAUGCAUGCUUGCAGCAUAAUAUGUACCUAUUUUAUGAUGGAUUUGCAUAAUGAGGAUGUUUCAUCACUGCAAUAUAAAUUGUAGUUCUAUCAACUUGUUAACGUGGACGUUUUUCAUCCAUGGUGGUUUAUUUGAUUCGAGUUUUGUUAUUUAAGGGCCAUGGAGACUGUCAUCAACCAGCAUGGUCUUGAUAUUGAGGCAUUGAUGUCAUCCCGCCUUCCUUUGACAGGUGGAACUCAAAUGGGUGACUCUGCAGGUAAUUGUUAACAGUGAUGUUCUCCAGUUUGUUUUUGGUUUUCUUAUAUCUUUUAUGGUGACACAAUUGCGCAUGAUCAUAAUUAAACCUAAUGGAUCUUUCUUUCUUUCCAUUUUUUUUUUGUUUUUUUGGAGAUUGCUAAUAUACAUUUCAUUUAUCAUGAACAAAUGGGAACCCCACCAUGCAGGAUCUUCUCAGGCAGUUGGAGUUACAAAAGAUACUGCAGUGGGUUUGACUGAAAAUGAUGUAUCCAAAGUUGACCCUUAUGCUUCUAGCAGACCACCUGUUGGUCCAAGUGGGGCAGGACAUGAUUAUUAUCAAGCAUCUGGAACUCAUAGGAGCAGUCAGUCGUUCGAUCAUGAAAGUCCUUCUAGUUUGGACACUAGGUCUGCCAACUCUCAAUCCCA
rnacentral:lncRNA from 1 species